rnacentral:rRNA from 1 species
GACGGGGACCCGCACAAGCAGCGGAGCAUGUGGUUUAAUUCGAAGCAACGCGAAGAACCUUACCAGAUCUUGACAUCCAAUUGACCAUCUUUUAAUCGAGAUUUUGCCUUCGGGUACAAUUGAGACAGGUGGUGCAUGGUUGUCGUCAGCUCGUGUCGUGAGAUGUUGGGUUAAGUCCCGCAACGAGCGCAACCCUUGUGUUUAGUUGCAAACAGGUCAAGUUGUGCACUCUAGACAGACUGCCGUGGACAACACGGAGGAAGGUGGGGAUGACGUCAAAUCAUCAUGCCCCUUAUGAUCUGGGCUACACACGUGCUACAAUGGCCGGUACAACGGGCAGCGAAGGAGCGAUCCGGAGCGAAUCCUAAAAAGCCGGUCCCAGUUCGGAUUGCAGGCUGAAACUCGCCUACAUGAAGUUGGAGUUGCUAGUAAUCGCGAAUCAGAAUGUCGCGGUGAAUGCGUUCCCGGGUCUU